GACGAACGCUGGCGGCGUGCUUAACACAUGCAAGUCGAACGGAAAGGCCCUGCUUUUGUGGGGUGCUCGAGUGGCGAACGGGUGAGUAACACGUGAGUAACCUGCCCUGGACUUUGGGAUAACUUCAGGAAACUGGGGCGAAUACCGGAUAGGAGCUCCUGCUGCAUGGGGGGGGUUGGAAAGUUUCGGCGGUUGGGGAUGGACUCGCGGCUUAUCAGCUUGUUGGGGGGGUAGUGGCUUACCAAGGCUUUGACGGGUAGCCGGCCUGAGAGGGUGACCGGCCACAUUGGGACUGAGAUACGGCCCAGACUCCUACGGGAGGCAGCAGUGGGGAAUAUUGCACAAUGGGCGGAAGCCUGAUGCAGCAACGCCGCGUGCGGGAUGACGGCCUUCGGGUUGUAAACCGCUUUCGCCUGUGACGAAGCGUGAGUGACGGUAAUGGGUAAAGAAGCACCGGCUAACUACGUG
rnacentral:rRNA from 1 species